rnacentral:lncRNA from 1 species
CAACUAGGAAGUCACGUGACUCAAGGUGGCGUGGAGCCAGUAGAAGCUUGAAAGCCGAGAAAGAAGGAGGCGAGCUGGUGGACGUGAAGCUAGGAAGGAAAUCUUGCAGGUGCUUGGAACAAACUACGAAGGUCACCAACAUUCCGUUAACUUAGUUGACCCGCAGGACAAAACAACCCACACACAAUGUUGAGAAGAUAUGUGGAGGGAUGCCAAGUGCAAUCUCUGUGGAAGGAGGAAAAAAAAUAUAUAUCAGCAGCAAGGAGAGGCUGCCACACAAGACAAGGAAGAUUUGCUACUGCUCACAACCAUAUUUCAUCUAGGCAACAAACUGUCAUGAACCUGCAUGGACUGCUGGAACACGAGUCUGGUCAUCAAUGGUAACUUAUUCCUGACCACAAUGUAUAGUUACAAAAUAAGCUGCUAAACUUUG